rnacentral:rRNA from 1 species
GAUGAACGCUGGCGGCGUGCCUAAUACAUGCAAGUCGAGCGAACAGACGAGGAGCUUGCUCCUCUGAUGUUAGCGGCGGACGGGUGAGUAACACGUGGAUAACCUACCUAUAAGACUGGGAUAACUUCGGGAAACCGGAGCUAAUACCGGAUAACAUGUUGAACCGCAUGGUUCAACAGUGAAAGACGGUCUUGCUGUCACUUAUAGAUGGAUCCGCGCCGCAUUAGCUAGUUGGUAAGGUAACGGCUUACCAAGGCAACGAUGCGUAGCCGACCUGAGAGGGUGAUCGGCCACACUGGAACUGAGACACGGUCCAGACUCCUACGGGAGGCAGCAGUAGGGAAUCUUCCGCAAUGGGCGAAAGCCUGACGGAGCAACGCCGCGUGAGUGAAGAAGGUCUUCGGAUCGUAAAACUAUGUUAUUAGGGAAGAACAAAUGUGUAAGUAACUAUGCACGUCUUGACGGUACCUAAUCAGAAAGCCACGGCUAACUACGUG